UUAUUUUUGUGCUUUAUUUCAAUGGGCGAUCAAUAGGGUUCAUAGCUAGUUUGAUAACCUCCAUUGCACUUUGGUUGAUGCACGCUUUUGCUAGAUCCAAGUGGUCGAGCCUAUGUCAUUAUUUGUGGCAAUAGGGGCCUGCAUCGUGCAGCCCCUAC